AGGGUUAACGCUGGCGGUGCGCAUAACACAUGCAAGUCGAGCGAGGGCUUAUUUCUCGCAAGAGAGAUAAGUUCCUAGCGGCGAACGGGUGAGUAACACGUGGGCAACCUUUCCUAUCGCGGGGGAUAACAGCGGGAAACCGCUGCUAAUACCGCAUGUCGUCACCGGCUAAUGGCUGGUGAAGAAAGCAGCAAUGCACGAUGGGGUGGCCCGCGGCCUAUCAGCUAGUCGGUGGGGUAACGGCCUACCGAGGCGAUGACGGGUAGCUGGUCUGAGAGGACGACCAGCCACACGGGGGACUGAGACACGGCCCCGACUCCUACGGGAGGCAGCAGUGAGGAAUCUUCCGCAAUGGGCGAAAGCCUGACGGAGCGACACCGCGUGUGGGAUGAAGUCCUUCGGGAUGUAAACCACUGUCGGAGGGGAAGACAUCGACGGUACCCUCCAAGAAAGCCCCGGCUAACUACGUGCCAGCAGCCGC
rnacentral:rRNA from 1 species